GACGGAGGAUGCAAGUGUUAUCCGGAAUCACUGGGCGUAAAGCGUCUGUAGGUGGUUUCAAAAGUCCACUGUUAAAGAUUGAAGCUUAACUUCAAAAAUGCCGUGGAAACUUUGAAACUUGAGUAUGAUAGGGGUAGAGGGAAUUUCCAGUGGAGCGGUGAAAUGCGUAGAUAUUGGAAAGACCACCAAUGGCGAAGGCACUCUACUGGGCCAUUACUGACACUGAGAGACGAAAGCUAGGGGAGCAAAUGGG
rnacentral:rRNA from 1 species